rnacentral:rRNA from 1 species
GGGUGCGAUCAUACCAGCACUAAUGCACCGGAUCCCAUCAGAACUCCGAAGUUAAACGUGCUUGGGCGAGAGUAGUACUAAGAUGGGUGACCUCUUAGGAAGUCUUCGUGUUGCACCCA